UUCACCUUGGCGCUCCAUAAAAAGUGUUUUUAUCAUCACUUGGUCAAUUCUUCUGUUUUUUAGCUGAUGUUCCAGUUACCUGACAUCGCCAACCCACCAUGCGUGAUGUUGACGACGACGACUGUCUCUCCUGCCGUGUGAUCGGUAGUGUCGUACCCCUCUGUCUGUCUGGAUAUGUGGUUCACACCUGGUGGAAGAGAGUGGUACCAACUGGGAAGCUCUUCAGCAGCGCUGUUUACAUUACAUUAGCUGGAGGGCUUGCUGGUGUUGGAACAAUGAGGAUGUUCAGCUUUGGACCGUUCGACCCAAGAUCAAAAAGUCGAUGACAAAGAAUAAUGGAGUCUAUGUUAUUUAUGAAAAGGCAGCUGAAAAUUGGACCCCAAUGCAGAGGGCUACAUUCGUAGAAGGACUUUUCAGAUGUGAGGUCAAAACUUUGAUUUGAGCCAAUUGAGGGGUAUGAUGUAAACUGUCACAAACAUGAUUACUGAGGGGGGUGGGGGUCUGCACAGCAGAUAUAACAUGUGUUUGUUUGAAAGGAACGAGUUUACAAUCCCCGAUCACACCCCAAAAAAAGGUCAUCGGUUGACUAACGAAGCACCACUGUUCAAUGGAUUUAUAGUUGAAUGCGAUCAAACUACGUCAUUUCCGAUCGGGGAUUCUAAAGUUUAGCUGUUUGAAAUGUGGUUUGGGCCUAUCUUGUGCUAGGUUGUAACUGUAAAGACCCAGCAAAUAAUGAUAUACCAAUGUGUGUAUGAAAUGUAAAAUGUUCGACUGACUCAAAUGUACUUCAUCAUGUGCUAUAUGACUUUUUGUGUCAAUUAAAUGCCAAAUGGAUGGAAAAAA